rnacentral:rRNA from 1 species
CAGUCGCCACGGGAAUGCGUAGGUGGCAAGCGUUGUCCGGAAUUAUUGGGCGUAAAGGGCUCGCAGGCGGUUUCUUAAGUCUGAUGUGAAAGCCCCCGGCUCAACCGGGGAGGGUCAUUGGAAACUGGGAAACUUGAGUGCAGAAGAGGAGAGUGGAAUUCCACGUGUAGCGGUGAAAUGCGUAGAGAUGUGGAGGAACACCAGUGGCGAAGGCGACUCUCUGGUCUGUAACUGACGCUGAGGAGCGAAAGCGUGGGGAGCGAACAGGAUUAGAUACCCCAGUAGUCCCUGUCUCUUAUAC